AGUGAACGCUGGCGGUAGGCCUAACACAUGCAAGUCGAACGGCAGCACAGUAAGAGCUUGCUCUUACGGGUGGCGAGUGGCGGACGGGUGAGGAAUACAUCGGAAUCUACUUUUUCGUGGGGGAUAACGUAGGGAAACUUACGCUAAUACCGCAUACGACCUACGGGUGAAAGCAGGGGAUCUUCGGACCUUGCGCGAUUGAAUGAGCCGAUGUCGGAUCAGCUAGUUGGCGGGGUAAAGGCCCACCAAGGCGACGAUCCGUAGCUGGUCUGAGAGGAUGAUCAGCCACACUGGAACUGAGGCACGGUCCAGACUCCUACGGGAGGCAGCAGUGGGGAAUAUUGGACAAUGGGCGCAAGCCUGAUCCAGCCAUACCGCGUGGGUGAAGAAGGCCUUCGGGUUGUAAAGCCCUUUUGUUGGGAAAGAAAAGCAGCAGGUUAAUACCCCGCUGUUCUGACGGUACCCAAAGAAUAAGCACCGGCUAACUUCGUG
rnacentral:rRNA from 1 species